ACGUACACUCCUGCGGGAAGCAGCAGUGGGGAAUAUUGGACAAUGGGCGCAAGCCUGAUCCAGCCAUGCCGCGUGAGUGAUGAAGGCCCUAGGGUUGUAAAGCUCUUUCACCGGUGAAGAUAAUGACGGUAACCGGAGAAGAAGCCCCGGCUAACUUCGUGCCAGCAGCCGCGGUAAUACGAAGGGGGCUAGCGUUGUUCGGAUUUACUGGGCGUAAAGCGCACGUAGGCGGACUAUUAAGUCAGGGGUGAAAUCCCGGGGCUCAACCCCGGAACUGCCUUUGAUACUGGUAGUCUUGAGUUCGAGAGAGGGGAGUGGAAUUCCGAGUGUAGAGGUGAAAUUCGUAGAUAUUCGGAGGAACACCAGUGGCGAAGGCGGCUCACUGGCUCGAUACUGACGCUGAGGUGCGAAAGCGUGGGGAGCAAACAGGAUUAGAAACCCUAGUAGUCCC
rnacentral:rRNA from 1 species